rnacentral:misc_RNA from 1 species
UACGAAGGGGGCUAGCGUUGUUCGGAAUUACUGGGCGUAAAGCGCGCGUAGGCGGAUUGUUACGUCAGAGGUGAAAUCCCAAGGCUCAACCUUGGAACUGCCUUUGAUACUGGCAAUCUUGAGUUCGGGAGAGGUGAGUGGAAUUUCUAGGGUAGAGGUGAAAUUCGUAGAUAUUAGGAAGAACACCAGUGGCGAAGGCGGCUCACUGGCCCGAUACUGACGCUGAGGCGCGAAAGCGUGGGGAGCAAACAGG